rnacentral:lncRNA from 1 species
CGGGCCAGUAUUGGGUUUGAUUGGUUAACACCCAAACUAUUUAGUUAGUCAUAACAGGCUGUUGACAAGUUAAAUAGGGUUACUGUUUGCAUAUGACAUCAUAGUCUAACCACAUAGUUUGACAACAUAAAUGUGCAUGUAUUUAAUUUCUCAUGCAUUAUCAUAUACACCUACAAGCUUUGUCUCUCACAGAAAGAUUAAUGGGAGACCUAUACUACCUAUUGUUCCUGGGUAUAGUCAACCUAACACAUGUUUAUUAUGUAAGACUAGAUAGUGUGGACACUUACUCAAAG